rnacentral:tRNA from 1 species
GGUGGCUCAGUGUUAGAGUGCUUGCUUUCCAUGCAUGAGGCCCUGGGUUCCAUUCCUCAGCACCA